UGUUUAAGAAGGAACUGCAGAUGGUGGAAAAUCAAAGAGAAGCAAGAAUUUGUUUUACUUCUUGGGACUGAAGACCUGUCCGAAGUGCCAAUUAUACCAAUGGGCAUUAUGCUUAGCCACGUGAAUUCAAUGGCCUACAUAUGGGGAAAUUUUUUAUUCAGCAGUUACAAUCAUGGCACCACAUGGUUCGCUAUUCCAGGAGUACCGCCUCAUUCUCUCAUCCGCUAUUUUACCCAUUCGUGGAAUGGAGAUUUUAUCUUUAUGACUGACCUUGAAGAAUUGUGGUAUGGUAGAGAUGGUUUUUCAAGGCUAAUUCGCCUUCGUCCUUCAAGAGGUUGGGUUACUUUCCUGGCCAUGCAGAAGAUAAAAGGCAUAAAUGACCAUUACAAAAGUGAGACAACAUUAACUGUCUUCUUUGACAGGCGAAAGCAGUUACAAGAGGCAAGUAUGAUGACUUUUGGGCAUUAUUUAUAUUUCUUUUUAUUCACCUGGUAACACAUCAAUGCUUGAUCAGUGCCAAGACCAUGAAAUUCCUUCCUUCACUACAUCCAAGGACCCAAGCAGUCUUUCCAAGCGAGGCAGAGGUUCAC